GUUUCCGUAGGUGAACCUGCAGGUGGAUCAUCGCUGAUUCCUAACGGAACUCUGGCUUUGAUACGGUUGAGUGUCGGUCGCAAAUGGGAACGGGCUUUUGGUCUGUCUCCUUCCGAUACUUGCCGCGUGCAGCAUAACGUGAGGUGUUCGUUCAUCAGUCUGGCGGCUUUAUGCGACCGCAGCAUCUGGGUUUUCGGACUCGGGCGCAACAGUCUGAUUCCACAGCGCGCUUCAGUGUGCAGUGGUUCGGCGAACGUAAAGUGUAGCAGCUAUGGCUACCGCCUCGCAAAGUUUCCCUUGCUGGCUAUAUUACCAUCCAUUGGCGGUGGAAGCCUUAAUGACUUGCGUUGCUCUUCUUUCGUGGAAGAGAACGUGGGCGGCAAACCCCCUUUCCUUUUACUUAACUUAUGUUUUGGCUUGUUCGAAAGAACAUACUCUUACUACCCAUUGGGAUGGAUCGGUCGAUUCGCAUAUCGAUGAACAACGGAGCUAGCUCCGUUAUUUACCACGAAUUGCAGACGCUUUGAGUGGUGAAAUUUGGAACGCACAGCGCCGUCGGGUUUUUCCCGUCGGCACGUCUGGUUCAGGGUUGUUUUCUUAACUGCCAUCGCUUCGGCGUUGGCUUGUCGAGCGACUAUGCGCAAGCGUACUCGUUCUAGUAAAGAAUGAAAGCAACAUGAGACUUCUAGUCUCGCUGUAGGUGUGCUCGUCGAACGUGCAUUGCCGUCGGCUCUCUACCGCUGCUUCUGGUUGAGUAGCCUUCGGUCGCUUAUGAUGCCGUUCUGAGCUUGCGCCUUGUCUUAGCAACCUGAGCUCAGUCGUGAUUACCCGCUGAACUUAAGCAUAU
rnacentral:misc_RNA from 1 species